rnacentral:lncRNA from 1 species
GUAGUAGCAGUAGUAAUAAUAUUAUUGGUAGUAGUAGUACUAUUACCUAUAAAUACCCAUAUACUUAAAAGCUUUUAGUAUCAACCACAAAUCAAAGCUUGAGUUUCUCAAUUAGUCUAAUUUACUUCUUCCUCUCAUAUUUCAACAAAUUACUAUAUUCAGUUAGCGUAUCUCUUCAUUUUUCUAACAAAAACAAAUAAAAUGUAAUAGAUCAUUUUGUCAUUUGUAGGUUAAUUUGUACAUUCAAAUUCUUCUUGAAUUGAAAUAAGAUGGCAAUUUUUUUUCUUAU